rnacentral:rRNA from 1 species
UACGGGGGGGAGCAAGCGUUGUUCGGAUUUACUGGGCGUAAAGAGCGCGCAGGCGGUCGUCCAAGUCGCGUGUGAAAGCCCCCGGCUCAACUGGGGAGGGUCACGCGAUACUGGUCGACUCGAAGGCAGGAGAGGGUAGUGGAAUUCCCGGUGUAGUGGUGAAAUGCGUAGAUAUCUGGAGGAACACCGGUGGCGAAGGCGGCAUCCUGGACCAAUUCUGACGCUGAGGAGCGAAAGCCAGGGGAGCAAACGGG